CCUACGGGAGGCAGCAGUAGGGGAUAUUGCACAAUGGGCGAAACCCUGAUGCAGCGACGCCGCGUGGGCGAAGAAGCUCUUCGGCUCGUAAAGUCCUGUCAUCAGGGAAGAACAUGUCGGUAACUGAAGAAUAAGCCCCUGCUAACUCCGUGCCAGCAGCCGCGGGAAUACGUGGGGUGGAAGCGUUAUCCGGAAUUACUGGGUGGAAAGGUGUCGCAGACGGCGCUGCAAGCCAGGUGUGAAAGCCCGGGGCCCAACCCCGGGACUGCUUUGGGCACUGCGUGGCUGGAGUGCAGGAGUGGCAGGCGGAAUUCCUGGUGUAGCGGUGAAAUGCGUAGAUAUCAGGAGGAACACCAGUGGCGAAGGCGGCCUGCUGGACUGCAACUGACGUUGAGGCCCGAAAGCGUGGGGAGCAAACAGGAUUAGAUACCCUAGUAGUC
rnacentral:rRNA from 1 species